CUUAGGGGUGCUCACGGUGCCCUCUGAAAAUAUUGCAGACCCUUCUGCAUUUCAAAAAUCCGAGUUGGGAAAACAUGAAAGGAAAGUCUCAGGAAGAGAAGCCUUAGAGGAAAAGCAAAUGGUUCUUUGUGACCUCUGGGAGAGUCUGUCAUGCAACCAGGUUCAGCAGGGUGGGCUGCCA